AGUGAACGCUGGCGGCGUGCCUAAUACAUGCAAGUCGAACGGAAUUUAAAAGAGCUUGCUCUUUUGAAUUUGGUGGCGCACGGGUGAGUAAUAUAUAGCUAAUCUGCCCCUUGCUGGAGGACAACAGUUAGAAAUGACUGCUAAUACUCCAUACUCCUUUUUACCAUAAGAUAAAUCGGGAAAGAAUUUCGGCAAGGGAUGAGACUAUAUCGUAUCAGCUAGUCGGUGGGGUAACGGCCUACCGAGGCUAUGACGCGUAACUGGUCUGAGAGGAUGAUCAGUCACAUUGGAACUGAGACACGGUCCAAACUCCUACGGGAGGCAGCAGUAGGGAAUAUUGCGCAAUGGGGGAAACCCUGACGCAGCAACGCCGCGUGGAGGAUGACACUUUUCGGAGCGUAAACUCCUUUUGUUAGGGAAGAAUAAUGACGGUACCUAACGAAUAAGCACCGGUAA
rnacentral:rRNA from 1 species